rnacentral:sRNA from 1 species
ACUCCCAACUAUUCCCCUUAAGUAUGAAUAUGUAGGUACAUGUAUCUUGAAAAACUAUACGGUUCUUUUAAGUUUAAAUUGUUCUCUACAUAAAACUGACCCAAUAUCAAAGAUCUUAAUGCCAUGGUAAAAUCUGCAUAAAUUCUAUAAAUCAUUGUCAGGUCUAUCAUGUCAUAUGUUAUAAUCUUUGAUGAAAUCUCAUCACAUCUAUUUAUAAUCUCAAUACAAGGGAGUUUAUCCAUGCCUGUCAAGGAUUUCUCACUAGAUAUAAUGGCAUUAUUAGAACCCCCUUUGGUUUAUUUAUUGUCAAUUAUAUUACUUGUAAAUAGGAUCAUAUAUUGUUUUCUGAUAUGUGGAUUAAAUGUUUUGUUAUGUAUUGUAUAUGUUUGGAUGCUGAAUUGAAAGUAAAAUAUUUAAUUU